GGAGGGUAUAGCUCAGUGGCAGAGCGCAUGCUUAGCAUGCAUGAGGUCCUGGGUUCAAUCCCCAGUACCUCCA
rnacentral:tRNA from 1 species